UCUAAAGGAUUUUAUUUAGAGGUUUAUUGUGUCUAAACGACUUUAUUUUGAAGUUUAUUGUGUCUAAAAGAUUUUAUUUUGAAGUUUCUUGCACUUCCCGGCCUGAGACUAGAGGCUGCACUGGAAGUGACCCCACACUGGAGGUCUGCAGCCAGACUCUUGGAUUUACUUAGUGCUGACAAGAUUACAUUAUCCAGUUUAAUUGUAUAGUAGCCAGGCUGACAGUUGAUUAUAAAAUAAGCUAUAGCACGAGAAUGAAGAUGAAUAGUUUAAGACACAAUCUCGGGGUGUAACCAGACUGUCUUAUUUUGUAUGAGGACAGAUAAGAAUGAAGAGGAAGGGAGAUAUUUCAGGCUUUUUUCUUUUAAGAAGCACAAAUGAGGCACAGCUCAGGUCCAGACAGACUCCAGCACCAAUGUCAGCAGCCCUGGCAGCUCUGAAGCUGCAGCUAGUCAGGCAGUUUCCUCAGUUGUUGAGAGUGACACAUACGUCUGCCUCUGAGGAGGAAGACAGUGAGCCAGAGCUGCUAGGAGGAGAUGCCACUGAACCCCCACAUCCACAUCAAGCUCCACAUAGUGUGCACCUAAAGGACCAAGUGACAUCUCAAGAUCCAGAGAGGAGGGUCCUGUUCAGCCGUGUCUGAAAAUGUUCCCAAGAACUCAACAUGAAACAAGGAAGAGGGCGUUCGACAGUUCUUGGUAUACAGACAAUUCAAAAGGGGGGGAGAAAUCCUCUUUGUUUUUUUGUUUGUUUGUUUUUAUUUUUAUUUUUAUUUUUUUUAUCACUUCGCAGGUUAAUCAAACACCUUCAAGCAGCCAGGAAAGAGAAAUAACUCACAUUUAAUUUGGCUUUCUUUAUUUCCCACAGAUAACUACAAAAGUAACCAUCAGUGUAGCCUAUUGUAUUUUUGUCCAACAGCGUAAUUUCAGAGUCCGUGUUUCUAGUUUGCUGCUGCAUUGAGUAUAAGAUUAAAUGACUUGUAGUUCAAUCUGUGGACAGUAAGUGUGUGUCUGCCUCUAAUGUUGGGUCCUGGGGGUGAGUGACGCCCUCAGCCUCUGGUCACCCUGCAGCCUGACUCAGGAUCAGCUCCUCAGCCUCUGUCGGACGUGGUGGAGGUGGAGAUGAGAACCACUUCAUGUUCAACUACUCAGCAGGAUGUUAGGACACAGAUGUGUGUUAAACAUUAUCUGUUGGUGGUAAAAGCUACUACAAGUUAAAAUAUCCACUGAAUAAACUUUUACUUUGUUUAAUAUGUGAAAUAAAACCAAAGUGAGGAGCCAUCGUGA